rnacentral:rRNA from 1 species
GACGAACGCUGGCGGAGGGAGGAAAAAAGGAAAGUAGUAUGGGAAGGCCCUUUCGGGGGUACACGAGUGGCGAACGGGUGAGUAACACGUGAGUAACCUGCCCACAACUUUGGGAUAACGCUAGGAAACUGGUGCUAAUACUGGAUAUGUGCUCCUGCUGCAUGGUGGGGGUUGGAAAGCUCCGGCGGUUGUGGAUGGACUCGCGGCCUAUCAGCUUGUUGGUGGGGUAGUGGCCUACCAAGGCGGCGACGGGUAGCCGGCCUGAGAGGGUGACCGGCCACAUUGGGACUGAGAUACGGCCCAGACUCCUACGGGAGGCAGCAGUGGGGAAUAUUGCACAAUGGGCGCAAGCCUGAUGCAGCAACGCCGCGUGCGGGAUGACGGCCUUCGGGUUGUAAACCGCUUUCAGCAGGGACGAAGCUUUUUGUGACGGUACCUGCAGAAGAAGCACCGGCUAACUACGUA